rnacentral:rRNA from 1 species
AGCGAACGCUGGCGGCAGGCCUAACACAUGCAAGUCGAACGAAGUCUUCGGACUUAGUGGCGGACGGGUGAGUAACACGUGGGAACGUACCUUUUGGUUCGGAACAACUCAGGGAAACUUGAGCUAAUACCGGAUGAGCCCUUAGGGGGAAAGAUUUAUCGCCGAAAGAGCGGCCCGCGUUAGAUUAGCUAGUUGGUGAGGUAAAGGCUCACCAAGGCUACGAUCUAUAGCUGGUCUGAGAGGAUGAUCAGCCACACUGGGACUGAGACACGGCCCAGACUCCUACGGGAGGCAGCAGUGGGGAAUCUUGCGCAAUGGGCGAAAGCCUGACGCAGCCAUGCCGCGUGAAUGAUGAAGGUCUUAGGAUUGUAAAGCUCUUUUGUCCGGGAAGAUAAUGACUGUACCGGAAGAAUAAGCCCCGGCAAACUUCGUGCCAGCCGCCGCCGUAACAC